rnacentral:rRNA from 1 species
GACGAACGCUGGCGGCGUGCCUAAUACAUGCAAGUUGAGCGCUGAAGGUUGGUACUUGUACCAACUGGAUGAGCAGCGAACGGGUGAGUAACGCGUGGGGAAUCUGCCUUUGAGCGGGGGACAACAUUUGGAAACGAAUGCUAAUACCGCAUAAAAACUUUAAACACAAGUUUUAGGUUUGAAGGAUGCAAUUGCAUCACUCAAAGAUGAUCCCGCGUUGUAUUAGCUAGUUGGUGAGGUAAAGGCUCACCAAGGCGAUGAUACAUAGCCGACCUGAGAGGGUGAUCGGCCACAUUGGGACUGAGACACGGCCCAAACUCCUACGGGAGGCAGCAGUAGGGAAUCUUCGGCAAUGGACGAAAGUCUGACCGAGCAACGCCGCGUGAGUGAAGAAGGUUUUCGGAUCGUAAAACUCUGUUGGUAGAGAAGAACGUUGGUGAGAGUGGAAAGCUCAUCAAGUGACGGUAACUACCCAGAAAGGGACGGCUAACUACGUG